rnacentral:rRNA from 1 species
UAGUCCACGCCCUAAACGAUGUAUACUCGAUGUUUGGACUUAUUUCUGGGCAUCCAAGGGAAACCAUUAAGUAUACCACCUGGGGAGUACGUCGGCAACGAUGAAACUCAAAGGAAUUGACGGGGGUCCGCACAAGCGGUGGAGCAUAUGGUUUAAUUCGAUGAUACGCGAGGAACCUUACCUAGGCUCGAACGCUACAGGACAGGAACUGAAAGGUUUUUUCCCUUCGGGGCUUGUAGUGAGGUGCUGCAUGGUUGUCGUCAGCUCGUGCCGUGAGGUGUUGGGUUAAGUCCCGCAACGAGCGCAACCCUUAUUCUUAGUUGCCAGCACAUAAUGGUGGGGACUCUAGGAAGACUGCCGGUGCUAAGCCGGAGGAAGGUGGGGAUGACGUCAAGUCCUCAUGGCCCUUACGGGUAGGGCUACACACGUGCUACAAUGGCGCUGACAGAGGGUUAAUCCCUAAAAGGCGUCUCAGUUCGGAUUGUCUUCUGCAACUCGAAGGCAUGAAGUUGGAAUCGCUAGUAAUCGGU